rnacentral:rRNA from 1 species
UCUGGUGAUGAUGGCGAAGAGGUCACACCCGUUCCCAUACCGAACACGGAAGUUAAGCUCUUCAGCGC